GGAAGAAUUUUAUGUUAAUGUUAAUGCAAAAGGUACGAAUAUUGACAGGUUAGCUAAUUUGAUGUUACAAUAAACAUGAAAUAAAGUUUUUGAAGACCUUAGUGCUAAAAAUACUUGCAUGCAUUAUUCAUGCAUGCUAUAUUAUAAUAUAGCAUGCAUGCAUGAUGUAUUCAAGUAUAAAAAAAAAGUUACAAAUGAAUAGUUAUACAAAAAGAUUAUGGAUGUGGUACCGCAAGUAUAUUCAAUUGAUUAUGCAAUUAAACCAUCACCACUUCCACAGCCACCUUGUCUCAAGCAUUCAAUAGCAUUCUAUGACAUCUUCAUUCAAAUCAAGUGUGACUACUAUACCUAAAGACUGUAAAAUGGACCAAUCUACUAACCCAUCAGUACUUGCAAAGUCUCCUUUUCUGUUAGCCCGAAAUUUGAGUUCUAAAAUACCAUCAUUCACACAAAGAGCUACUAUAUCAAAAGACAAUAGAAUGGAUUGAUCAAAACUUGUAUUGAAAGGAGAUUGUACGUCCUCGGUAUCCGCAAUACGGUAUUGUGCAUUGGUUCCCAUUUUAGAAUGGCUCCCUUCCGUAUAGGUGGAACUAGGAAAAAUUUUGUCCUUUUUUCUAAUUUUAAGACAAAGAGGUUUAAUCGCUUCAACCAAAGAUGACGAUGAUCAUUAUGGGGCCGAUCAAGAUUACGAAUACGAUAAUGCAUAUAAUAAUAAAUAAAAUGAUUUUUUUGGUAUUUUAGAUUUAUAUAAAUAAAAAAUUAUCUGUUUAA